AUUGAACGCUGGCGGCAGGCCUAACACAUGCAAGUCGAGCGGAUGACGGGAGCUUGCUCCUUGAUUCAGCGGCGGACGGGUGAGUAAUGCCUAGGAAUCUGCCUGGUAGUGGGGGAUAACGUUUCGAAAGGAACGCUAAUACCGCAUACGUCCUACGGGAGAAAGCAGGGGACCUUCGGGCCUUGCGCUAUCAGAUGAGCCUAGGUCGGAUUAGCUAGUUGGUGGGGUAAUGGCUCACCAAGGCGACGAUCCGUGACUGGUCUGAGAGGAUGAUCAGUCACACUGGAACUGAGACACGGUCCAGACUCCUACGGGAGGCAGCAGUGGGGAAUAUUGGACAAUGGGCGAAAGCCUGAUCCAGCCAUGCCGCGUGUGUGAAGAAGGUCUUCGGAUUGUAAAGCACUUUAAGUUGGGAGGAAGGGCAGUAAGUUAAUACCUUGCUGUUUUGACGUUACCGACAGAAUAAGCACCGGCUAACUCUGUGCCAGCAGCCGCAGUAACAC
rnacentral:rRNA from 1 species